UACGUAGGGUGCAAGUGUUAAUCGGAAUUACUGGGCGUAAAGCGUGCGCAGGCGGUUUUGUAAGACUGUCGUGAAAUCCCCGGGCUCAACCUGGGAAUGGCGAUGGUGACUGCAAGGCUAGAGUUUGGCAGAGGGGGGUAGAAUUCCACGUGUAGCAGUGAAAUGCGUAGGUAUGUGGAGGAACACCGAUGGCGAAGGCAGCCCCCUGGGUCAAAACUGACGCUCAUGCACGAAAGCGUGGGGAGCAAACAGG
rnacentral:rRNA from 1 species